rnacentral:rRNA from 1 species
AGAAGAGUUUGAUCCUGGCUCAGGAUGAACGCUAGCGGCAGGCUUAACACAUGCAAGUCGAGGGGCAGCGAGGUAGCAAUACCGUCGGCGACCGGCGCACGGGUGAGUAACAGGUAUGCAAUCUGCCUCUAACAGGGGGAUAACCCGUCGAAAGACGGACUAACACCGCAUAAGACCACGGGAUGGCAUCAUUUUGUGGUAAAAUAUUUAUAGGUUAGAGAUGAGCAUGCUUAUCAUUAGGUAGUUGGUAGAGUAACGGCCUACCAAGCCGACGAUGAUUAGGGGUUCUGAGAGGAAGGUCCCCCACACUGGUACUGAGACACGGACCAGACUCCUACGGGAGGCAGCAGUGAGGAAUAUUGGUCAAUGGGCGCGAGCCUGAACCAGCCAUGCCGCGUGAAGGAAGACGGCCCUACGGGUUGUAAACUUCUUUUGUACGGGAACAAUAAGAGUUACGUGUAACUUGAUGAGCGUACCGUACGAAUAAGCAUCGGCUAACUCCGUGCCAGCAGCCGCGGUAAUACGGAGGAUGCAAGCGUUAUCCGGAUUUAUUGGGUUUAAAGGGUGCGUAGGCGGGCGCAUAAGUCAGUGGUGAAAUACAAUCGCUUAACGAUUGAGGUGCCAUUGAUACUGUGUGUCUUGAGUGUAUUUGAGGUAGGCGGAAUGUGCAGUGUAGCGGUGAAAUGCUUAGAUAUUGCACAGAACACCGAUUGCGAAGGCAGCUUACUAAGAUAUAACUGACGCUGAAGCACGAAAGUGUGGGGAUCAAACAGGAUUAGAUACCCUGGUAGUCCACACUGUAAACGAUGAUUACUGGAUGUUUGUCCUUUAGUGGAUGAGCGUCUCAAGCGAAAGCAUUAAGUAAUCCACCUGGGGAGUACGUCGGCAACGAUGAAACUCAAAGGAAUUGACGGGGGCCCGCACAAGCGGAGGAACAUGUGGUUUAAUUCGAUGAUACGCGAGGAACCUUACCCGGGCUAGAACGCAGGGGGAAUGUUGGGGAAACUCAACAGCCAGCAAUGGUCGCCUGCGAGGUGCUGCAUGGUUGUCGUCAGCUCGUGCCGUGAGGUGUCGGCUUAAGUGCCAUAACGAGCGCAACCCUUAUUGUUAGUUGCCAGCGGGUAAAGCCGGGGACUCUAGCAAAACUGCCAGCGUAAGCUGUGAGGAAGGUGGGGAUGACGUCAAAUCAGCACGGCCCUUACGUCCGGGGCGACACACGUGUUACAAUGGAUGGUACAGAAGGUCGCUACCACGCGAGUGGAUGCUAAUCUUUAAAGCCAUUCUCAGUUCGGAUCGAAGUCUGCAACUCGACUUCGUGAAGCUGGAUUCGCUAGUAAUCGCGCAUCAGCCAUGGCGCGGUGAAUACGUUCCCGGGCCUUGUACACACCGCCCGUCAAGCCAUGGGAGCCGAGGGUGCCUGAAGUACGUGACCGCAAGGAGCGUCCUAGGGCAAAAUUGGUGACUGGGGCUAAGUCGUAACAAGGUAGCCGUACCGGAAGGUGUGGCUGGAAUACCUCCUUU